GAUGAACGCUAGCGGGAGGCCUAACACAUGCAAGCCGAGCGGUAGAGUUUCUUCGGAAACUUGAGAGCGGCGCACGGGUGCGUAACACGUGUGCAACCUACCUUUAUCUGGGGGAUAGCCUUUCGAAAGGAAGAUUAAUACCCCAUAAUAUAAUGAUUGGCAUCAAUUAUUAUUGAAAACUCCGGUGGAUAGAGAUGGGCACGCGCAAGAUUAGAUAGUUGGUGAGGUAACGGCUCACCAAGUCAAUGAUCUUUAGGGGUCCUGAGAGGGAGAUCCCCCACACUGGUACUGAGACACGGACCAGACUCCUAAGGGAGGCAGCAGUGAGGAAUAUUGGACAAUGGGUGAGAGCCUGAUCCAGCCAUCCCGCGUGAAGGAUGACGGUCCUAUGGAUUGUAAACUUCUUUUGUACAGGGAUAAACCUACCCUCGUGAGGGUAGCUGAAGGUACUGUACGAAUAAGCACCGGCUAACUCCGUG
rnacentral:rRNA from 1 species